AGAGAGAGAGAGAGAGAGAGAGAGAGAGAGAGAGAGAGAGUGGUGGUUUUGCUAGCGAGUGAUGAUCUGGUCGAACACGGAUUUCUCUUCUCAUUCACGAGAUCAAUUCGCAUCAUACCGUAAUCUCAGAGGGGUUCUAAAGAGUUUGAAGCUUGACCAAAAACGAAGUACUCAGUCUUGAAAUAGAUGGAGUGCUCAUGUUUGAGCGUAUCUUCUUCCUUUUUUGUAGUUGCCAGACUAAGGGGAUUCACAAUCUACUGCGCAGAUUCGUGGAUUCGCAAUUUCGACUGGACUGCUCACUCUGGGUCUUUUGCUCAAAAUGUGAAUGUGUACAAGCUCCACAAAUGGUUCCUCUUUGUAUGUACGCUCAAAAUGUGAAUGUGUACAAGCUCCACAAA